rnacentral:rRNA from 1 species
UCAGUCGACUCCUACGGGAGGCAGCAGUAGGGAAUCUUAGACAAUGGGCGCAAGCCUGAUCUAGCGAUGCCGCGUGUGUGACGAAGGCCUUAGGGUCGUAAAGCACUUUCGCCAGGGAUGAUAAUGACAGUACCUGGUAAAGAAAGUCCCGGCUAACUCCGUGCCAGCAGCCGCGGUAAUACGGAGGGGACUAGCGUUGUUCGGAAUUACUGGGCGUAAAGCGCGCGUAGGCGGAUUAGUUAGUCAGAGGUGAAAUCCCAGGGCUCAACCCUGGAACUGCCUUUGAUACUGCUAGUCUUGAGUUCGAGAGAGGUGAGUGGAAUUCCGAGUGUAGAGGUGAAAUUCGUAGAUAUUCGGAGGAACACCAGUGGCGAAGGCGGCUCACUGGCUCGAUACUGACGCUGAGGUGCGAAAGUGUGGGGAGCAAACAGGAUUAGAUACCCUGGUAG